UAGAACUACAUACAGCCAGCAUCAGCCCAAG
rnacentral:piRNA from 1 species